AUUAAAAUAGCUAUUUGUAUACAUGACCUGCACAGACACUCUUGCCAAGAUCAUUUGCUCUGAAGAUUAUAUUCCUGCUGUUUGAAUGAAGAUCUGAUUUCAUUUAGACAAACCUUUCACUGCUUUUUAAUAACAGAUGAGAGACAAUGCUACACAUUAACUGUAUGGCUAAAAUGUCACACAUGCUGAACAGAAAUCAUUGUCAAAGCAAAUGAGCAUUUGGAUGAUACAAUGAUAAGAAUAAUGUAAUUAAAUUCAUUUUCAUACCACUGAUUUUAUCGCCCCAUUUUCACACUGUUCCUUCUAGCCAUAUGCUUUGUUUCCAUCCAAAUCUGCUCAUUAGGGAAGAGUGACUAACAUUUGUUCCAGACAAUGCUGAAAUCAGGUCCUGGGCUUGUUGGAAUAAGGUUUAAUUCAUUUGAAGAAAUAGUAAUGUAGUAAGAAAGAAGAGAGGGAGAAGCUGAUAUAAAAUGGAAAAGCCCAUGAACACAGCUGGGUAAAGAACUGGGGAGCUGAGGAGGCAGAUGAUCAAAAGGAUUUGGAAAAAAAAAAUAAAGUAGGGGAAAAUGAAAAAGACAUAAACAAGGAUGAAAGGAAAAGAAGGAAAAAGGAUAAGAAGGGGAGAAUGAAAAGGAGCCUGUUAAUGGUAGCUGGAGAUAAAAGAGGAGAGGGAGGAUAAGGCAUAAAAUGAGACAGAAUUUAAUUAUGCAUACUUUUCUUUAAAUGGCCAUCUAGCCUCUAGCUCUGUGGGCCAAGUGUCUGUUUCAGUUCGAUUGGUGGAACAAGCUUGUUGUGUAUGACAGCUUAAAUAUUUAGCAGCAGUGGUACACUGAAAGGAGCUCACUGUUUUUAUGGAGGCACGAGGCAGGAUGCAAUGUUGGGGAUCAGACUGCUAAAGGAGCAGGAACUCAAGUAGCAAUACUCACCCCCAGGGCCAUGCUGGCAGGAUCUCACAUGCAUUCCUAUGCCAGUGGGAAAGUGGUACUUGUGAAACUGAGAGCUCCUUUACUCUUUCCUGAGGGUGGAGAUGUGUUUUGACUGUUUUGUUUGUCAGGACUCACAGGGCCAAAGUACUUGGUCUACUUGAGUAUUUCUUAGAGUUUUGUGUACCUGUUUCACUGUAGCACUCCAUCAAGCUGUCUUAUUUGCUGCAGCCCUUGUCUCUGCCCCUAAGUGCAAAGGCUUCCUGGCAUGGUUUUGGCAAUGUGGUUCCUUCCCCUCCCUCAAAAUUAGGCAUUUAGAGGGGAACCAAGGAAUCAUUCACUGAUCAGAACUAGCUGGUUGUUGUUACGAGCUGGGCAAGUUAGGAUUCAGCCUUUCUGAGUUUAGCAUUUUUAGGAUUGGAAUCUUGCUGUUUUAUUAAAACUAACAGCAUGCAAAGGUUUUUCUAAUGGCUAAGUUUAUAAAAAGUUGUGUUUAGGGAAGUCCUGGAGAUCACAGAUGAAACUUUCAUCUCCACUCUUAGAUAAAGGGAUCUGUCUUUAUCCUCUUGCAGCAGUAUGCAGGGGCUUGAAAGGAGCAUCAUACAUUCCUGUAGGAAUAGCUGGUCAGGGUGGGAACCACUGCCAUACUAAUACUGGCCCCUCCAUCUGAGGCCUUUUUGGGAACAAACCACAGAAGAGCUUCUGUGAGAUGCAUCUUCUCUUUGUCCCAAAUGUUCUCAGGUCAGAAACUAAAAAUAGUUUAUUUUCUCCUGUUCUGCUCUUUCAGAAAGGAAGUACCAUUGUCAGAAAUGUUAAAAGAAUUGCUCUAGAGUCAUGAUGACUCAGAGCAUUGAACUGGUCUUCAUGAUAAGGAUAAUAAGAUUUUACAUUUUGAGGCCUGUUUUCCAGUUCAAUCAACAUCAACAGUCUUUGGAUCUAUUUUUCUUUUAAUAUCUCUGAUACUGUUGCAGUACAUUACUUUUUGAUAGUGGCAGUGGGGGGAUGUCUUACUGUCUAUUCCCACCAUGUAAAUAAUGUGUAUAAAUGUGCAAUGCAUUUCAUCUCUCCAAAUGUGUGUAAUUUAUAAUAGGACUAAACUUGCUAAACAGUGAGUUCAUGACAUGCUCUGGCCUCUUGGUCCCUCAGCAGCAAACCAUGGUGCCUUUUCUGUCUAUACAAACUUUCUUUAUUUUGAUUAGAAAAGUGAACAGAAUCUGUUGGAUAUUUAUGACUGGGUCUCACAUGACAGUACAGAAUGACCAAGAGUUUACACAUAACCAGAAAUGCUAAUUUCCUUCUUUUGUCCAAAAGGCUGCUUUAUGUAAUGCUAUAUUAACUUUCUUUAAAGCUGUGAGAUUUAAGGUUAUUUCAGCUCUGCUUUUUCAUUAGCUUUCUUUCCCCCUUAUUCUGUUGUCUCAUUUUUCUCUCUCUUCACUUUUUGUAGCUCUGAUUCUGUCUCCUUUGAGAAAAGGCUUCUAAUAGCAUCCCACUAUUUCCUAAAUGAGUUCAAGUCCAUUUGGCUUAGAACCCAAGUGCCAGAAGGCCACUGCUAACAUUUUUACCAGUCCUUGAGAUCUCAUCUGAACCUCUUCGCAAGGUGGGAGUUUAAAAGGUCACUUAGGGCUAGUGAGAUAGUCACAUUCUGUUAGAGUUCAGUGCAUAUACUACUACUCAUUUCACAGCAAGUUGGUCCUGCUUUGGAACUAAGGGAAAACCACAGAGAAAAGACAGAAGCCACCUAUUGUCCUGAAUGUUGAGAUGUGUAAAAUGCUGGUGACUUUCUACACUUUUGUGGAGGUGCUAUCUUUUAUGUGUCUGCAUGCUUGGUAUAUUCUUACAUACGUGUAUAGUCAUAACAUCUGACUUGACAUGCACCCCUUUUCAUGUAUAUUUGGGGAAAAUAAAUAUGUCUGCAGGUGGGGGAGAAUCAAAUCUAACGAACCAAAAGGUUGAGUUAUUUCGGCUGCUGGAAAAAUAAUUAGCAGCUGUCCUUUUUCUGCUACUGAGAGGCAAUCCAAUAAAAGAAUGCUCAUAUGACAUAUAAUAUACAUAUAAGAAACUUGCAUCCAAAGCACUUUUAUGGACAUUAUGGCUAUUAAGCCUAUAGGUUUGCUCUUUCACUUAAAAAAAAAAAAACAACAUGAAGAAAAGACAAGCAAAGGGGACACAGAAUGUUAACCUGCCCUCAGAGCCAAGUCUAAUUUUUGUAUUUAAGCAAAACCUCUCAAGGGACUUCAAAGAAAGCUUUACCAAGUCAUCUAGAGAAACAACUAAAUUGAGUCAGAAAAAAAGGGAAUCAUCACACCUGCAGUUCCUGCUUUUAUCAGUAUUUAAUCUCUAGACAUUUUGUGGAGAAAGAACUGGAACCCAAAUUCUCUGCAGGUUUAAAAGUUACCAACCACUUGCCUAUACAGUGAUCCUUUUAUUUUUUUCUUUCUAUUUUUACAAGCAAUUUUACCACAGGGAUUUAGAGAUUUUUCUUUUAUUCUAUAAACCCUGGAAGUAGACAUUUCAACUAUUCAUUAGUUUUCCUCAAAAAACAAAUACUUUUCCAUAAAUUGACUGUUUUAAGUAAAAGCUGUUUUGGUGUUUGAUUCUUUCCACUAGCUUCCUUAUUUGUAAUACCAGCAUGGCUACAUUUUAAAGAUCAUAAACACUUAUUGUUCUACUUCAAGAAGGAGAAUAGAAAAUUAUUCUUUUUACUUCAGUCAAUAAGAUAAUGUUCAAAAUGACUCACACAUUUCAAAUUCAGAUUUUUAGGGGUUUAUGUUUGUUUUGUAACAAGUAAAAAACAAGCCUUAAUAGCCCUAAAAAUGUGAGUUCAGAUGUGUUAUUAAAUCAUAUAUUAAUGUGAAAGAAUAUGGUGAAAAUGUUAUUCAGAACCAAGAUGUAGGCUGUCUUGUCCUCCAAAAUCUACAGCUAACAUUUAAUCAAAUUUCGAAACAUUUACAGAAGCAAACAUAUUCAGUGAUCUGUGUUACCAUCAGCCUGUGGUAAGCAAACAUGAAGAAGGAAAUCAUAGGCUGUUAAGAGCCUGUGAGAGCUUGCUUGGAGGUUGAUGUCACUAAUAUGUUUCCGAGGAGAACUAAGGCAACAUCUGCAUUUCCAGAAAUGGUAAAAUAGUUUUAAAGCCAUUUGGGUUUCAUUCUGCUAUUAAAGCCAUGCUAUGUCUUGAAUGGAGUACAACACUGGAGAAAUACUUUUUUUAUAUAACUAUUUUUAGUACAGAGGAUGGAGUUACAUCCUUCUUUGUUCUCCUUAUAAAAUCCUAGGAUUGUUGUAGCUGCUUCAGCUAGCUAUUGGCUUAGCUGGCUUCUGCUCCAGCCAUCAUGGAAGGAGUGCAAGUAGGGAUGCUGUCAGUCAAGAAGGCAGUGAAAUGGUGAGUUUGAGCCUCUGUGUCUAUUAAGCAAUAACAAGUAAAUAAUCUCCCUUUGAAUGAUUAAGACUGAUUUAGCACUCACUAUGACACAUUUUCUCAAAAAUUGCAGGAUUAUUACAAGGAAGGAGAAAAAUAUAGGGCUAUGUCUGCUAAGAAGUUACUCAGAACUUUAGAUGCUUUCAUUCCAAAAUUCUGCAAAUAUUCUUUGCAAUAUCAAUAAAAAAAGACAAGCUUUGAUAUGCCUUUUCAGUAGAAUACUAUUUGUGGUUACAUAAACAUAACUGCUUCUGUUGAGUUAUAAAUGCCAGCUAUCUGCUCAAUAGGUGGAUCAUUUUGGCAGCUGAAUGUGAGUUAAACUGGACUGCUUCAUGUGUCUUUGCUGACUCAGUUCUGAAGCAUGCCAAAUUUCAUUAACAGGUACCCAAAAAAUGAAUCUGAUUUUUUCAUUCUUUUCACAAUUAUGAAAAAUUCAUUGUCUCUGUGUAGUGGCCGUCUGCUUUAAAAAAUGGAGAUGGUGAAGUUAAAAGUUAUUUAGUCAUGAGUGAAAAGUAAAAGUAAAAAAAAAAAUUGCACAGAGAAAUUGCUUUGCAAAAUUGAUGUAACUGUACAUAUUUAAAAUUGUACACAAAUUUUACGUAGUAAAUCAUUUAGCACAUUGUUUCAUUUGCUGCAUCCAGCUUCUUACUCAGGUCUCUUCUUGUUCCCAGAUAAGCUUUCAGGAAUAAUAAAUACCCCUUAAGGGAAAAUGUUUUAAAGCAAAUAACAACUGCCAAAUAAUUUAUCACAUGUAACCACUGGUCUCCAUCCUUAAUUACUAGCAUUUCAUUCUAGUGCUUGUUUAAGAGAAGUUAAGCUUAAUAUAUGUUCUCUGUAUUUUUUUUUUUUUUUUUUUGGGGGGGGGGGAGAGUUCUUUUCAUCAUGUAUUCAGAGUUUGAACCAGACUGUCCC
rnacentral:lncRNA from 1 species